GACGAACGCUGGCGGCGUGCUUAACACAUGCAAGUCGAACGGAAAGGCCCUGCUUGCCGGGUACUCGAGUGGCGAACGGGUGAGUAACACGUGGGUGAUCUGCUCUGCACUUCGGGAUAAGCCUGGUAAACUGGGUCUAAUACCGGAUAGGAGCCAUUUUUAGUGUGAUGGUUGGAAAGUUUUUUCGGUGUAGGAUGAGCUCGCGGCCUAUCAGCUUGUUGGUGGGGUAAUGGCCUACCAAGGCGGCGACGGGUAGCCGGCCUGAGAGGGUGGACGGCAACAUUGGGACUGAGAUACGGCCCAGACUCCUACGGGAGGCAGCAGUGGGGAAUAUGGCACAAUGGGCGGAAGCCUGAUGCAGCGAAGCCGCGUGGGGGAUGACGGCCUUCGGGUUGUAAACGCCUUUCGCUAGGGACGAAGCGUUUUGUGACGGUACCUAGAUAAGAAGCACCGGCUAACUACGUG
rnacentral:rRNA from 1 species